rnacentral:rRNA from 1 species
GUCUACCGCAAGGCUACCCUAAACAAGUCCGAUCCCAUCUGAUCUCGGAAGCUAAGCAGGUUUGGGCCUGGUUAGUUCUUGGAUGGGAGACUGACUACCUAGGAAGAUCAGGUGCUGUAGGCG